rnacentral:rRNA from 1 species
AUACGGAGGGUGCAAACGUUGUUCGGAAUUACUGGGCGUAAAGCGCGCGUAGGCGGCUUGUUAAGUCAGAUGUGAAAGUCCACAGCUCAACUGUGGAAGUGCAUUUGAAACUGGCAGGCUUGAGUACUGGAGGGGAUGGUGGAAUUCCCGGUGUAGAGGUGAAAUUCGUAGAUAUCGGGAGGAAUACCGGUGGCGAAGGCGACCAUCUGGCCAGAUACUGACGCUGAGGUGCGAAAGCGUGGGGAGCAAACAGGAUUAGAAACCCGAGUAGUCC